UAAGGUUCGAUUCGAGCGCAGCGAGAAAGCGUUGCCGCAGGCAACGACCCGAAGGGCGAAGCGCGCAGCGCUGAGUAAUCCUUCCCCUACCACCA
rnacentral:sRNA from 1 species